AUGGGCUGUCCCUUUCGCCUAUUUAUGGCCCAAGUAGGAGUAGGUACUUUGCCCUGUUCGUUCACGCCCGGAAGUGCGUCAGCUGACAGGGCCUCUCUACCUUGUGACCACACGUGCAAAACGCACACUCCGGUGCCUGUAUGUUUGUAUGUCUCCGUUCUUUUUCAGUCUGGUUUUAUUUACAACCGUUGUAGAAAAGAGAAAAAGAGCUUCCGGGUCGACGCGACGCACUUCCGUAGAGUUCCUGAGCCUUUUCCAGCAACAAAAUUUGGUUUCUGGGUUUCCACGGGUUACUUUCUCCACUGA
rnacentral:rRNA from 1 species